rnacentral:lncRNA from 1 species
AAUAUCCCUGGAAGAGACCCUUCCCAAGUUUUGGGUAAUAGAUGAUUCAUAUACGGUGUUGUGUCUCAGUGAUUCAACAUAGAAACUCAGGGGCCUGGGCUGUGCCAUAAGCAGUGUCUCCAUUGAGAACGCAGCCGGGGACAUUCACACCACGGGCUACACCUCAGGUGGGCCAACAGUCCUCCUGAAAAUGAGCUGCAUCCUGAUUAUGGCUGGUAGUUGGGUGAGUCCUUCUUGAAACACGUAACAUGUAGUCUAGGUGGCUCACGGAUCAAAAUAAACAG